ACGAACGCUGGCGGCAUGCCUAACACAUGCAAGUCGAACGAGACCUUCGGGUCUAGUGGCGCACGGGUGCGUAACGCGUGGGAACCUGCCCUUAGGUUCGGAAUAACUCCCCGAAAGGGGUGCUAAUACCGGAUAAUGUCUUCGGACCAAAGAUUUAUCGCCUUUGGAUGGGCCCGCGUUGGAUUAGCUAGUUGGUAGGGUAAAAGCCUACCAAGGCGACGAUCCAUAGCUGGUCUGAGAGGAUGAUCAGCCACACUGGGACUGAGACACGGCCCAGACUCCUACGGGAGGCAGCAGUGGGGAAUAUUGGACAAUGGGCGAAAGCCUGAUCCAGCAACGCCGCGUGAGUGAUGAAGGCCUUAGGGUUGUAAAGCUCUUUUACCCGGGAUGAUAAUGACAGUACCGGGAGAAUAAGCUCCGGCUAACUCCGUG
rnacentral:rRNA from 1 species